AAUACCUUAUAUAAUAAAGGAAAAAAAAUUCCGCCUUAAGACGAAUAGAAAAGUAUAGGGAUAGGUAGUAGUAAAGGUAACGGCUUCACUAGCCUAAUAUUCUCUUAGUCGAAACUGAGAUGGUUGAUCGACCACAUUGGGAAUGAGAAAAGCCCAAGGCAAGGAAGUACAGCAGUGGGGAAUUUUGGUCAAUGGCCUAACGGCUGAACUGGCAAUUUGGAGGAAUGACCUAUCUUAUUUAGUAAUAAUAAGAAUUAGAUUGAAAUGGUACAAUUAAUUAUUAAAUGAAAUUCUAAAUAUAUAACAUUAUAAUGACUAAAUAUAUUUAUGUCUUGACUAAUUACGUGCCAGCAGUCGCGGUAAUACGUAAGAGACUAGUGUUAUUCAUCUUUAGUAGGUUUAAAGGGUACUUAAACGGAAGAAAUUACCUAAACAAGGUAUAAUUUCUAUCUAGAGUUUAAUAUGAAAAGGUAGAACUUGAGGAGUAGAGAUACAAUGCGCUAAUACCUAAUAGAGGACAAGUUAAGGCUAAUGCGACCUUUUAUGUAAAAACUGACGUUGAAGGACGAAGGCUUAGAGAGCGAAUAGGAUUAGAGACCCUAGUAGUCUAAGCAGAAAAUGAUGGAUGCCAUAGGUUAGGAUUACUUAGUCUAUAAAUGAAAGUGUAAGCAUUUCACCUCAAGAGUAACAUGGCAACAUGGGAACUGUAAUCACCAGGCCGUUUCUGACAACAGUAGUGAAGUAUGUUACUUAAUUCGAUGACCCACGAAAAUCUUACCACGAUCAGUAUAAUAUAUUAAUAAUAUAAUACGUUAUAAUAUAUUACGAGUGUUGCACGGCUGUUUUCGGUUAAUGUUGUGAAACUGUGGUUGAGGCCAUGCAAUUAACGUAAACCUUUGCUUUAUUUAUAUAUAUAUUUUUUUAUAAAGCUGUUUUUAUCUGGAAAACGAUAAAAUAAUAGGGCCAAAGACAAGUCAUCAUGACCUUUAAAUCGUGGGCUGUAGACGUGCCACAUUUACCUAGACAAAGACCCCCCUAAUUUUUAAAUUUAAGCUAAUCUCAAAAAAUAGGAUAAAACAUCCUCCAUUGUAGUCUGAAACUCGACUACAUAAAUAAGUAAUU
rnacentral:rRNA from 1 species